UAAGUCAAAUGGAUUGUUGUGUGUGUGUGUCAUGCCAGAUAUGGCUAUGAUGUGUCUAGUGUUUUGUUGCUUGGUGGCAAUUUGGACACUCAUCACCCUUAUCCAUCAUUCUCAAAACCUUCAUAAUCAGGAAACUCAUUCUUGGAUGAUUUUACUAUGAACCAUCAUCUUCAUCUCUAUUAUCAUCACUCAUCAAUUCUCAUCACUUGUUUAUCUUGAAUUUCUGGAAAAACACAAACUCAAGUCCUUGAUCUUAGUUCAUUCAUACAAACUUGAAUUUUUGUUCAUCAUUAUUAUCCAUUAAAGAAGAAAAUCUGAAAAUCCCAUCUUAUUCUUUCUUCAAUUCGAAAUUGAAAAGUGAGUGGGGAGUCUUUUGUAUUUUUUGUUUCAUCCAUUUUAAAAGCUUGUUAUUGGGUUCAAUUGAGUUAUCAAGUUUAUGAGUUCUAUUUGGGUUUAUGUUCUGAAUCUUUUGUAUUCUUUAUUUCAUCCAUUUCAAAGGCUUGUUGUUGGGUUCAAUUAAGGUAUCAAGUUUUAUGAGUUCUAUUUGGGUUUAUGUUCAAGCUUGUAGGUUCUAUUGGGCUUGAUUAUUGGUUUGAUUGGGUACAAGUUUGCGCAAGUAAUGAAAGAAAUUGGUGUUGGGGCGUGUUCUUCGAUUGAUUUCAAGCUUGUUUGUUUUCCAUGGUGAUUUUCAAAGUAUGUAUAUAAGCUGUUUGUGAAAAUGCUAAAGUGAAGUUAAUGGGUUUUGCAAAUGAAAGCUCUCGGUUUUAUCUAUUUAUUUCAAAUGGAGCUUUACAGGAGAUCCAUUUUCAGGUUAGCUCUCUGUGGAUUCGAUGCCUACUUGUAUAAUGUGGUAUGUGCGAGGUGAGAACUUUUUGAAAUACAUAAUGUAAACUAGAUAUUUGUAAAUUAAAGUAUAAUAAUUUCAUAAUAUUUUGUAAAUAGUAUUUACUUGAUUAUGUAAAAAGUUUUUAAUUACUCUAAUAUUGGAUUGUUGUGGCUAUCGAGCUACUGGUCA